rnacentral:rRNA from 1 species
AGUGAACGCUGGCGGUAGGCCUAACACAUGCAAGUCGAACGGCAGCACAGUAAGAGCUUGCUCUUACGGGGUGCGAGUCGCGGACGGGUGAGGAAUACAUCCGAAUCUACUUUUUCGUGGGGCAUAACGUAGGGAAACUUACUCUAAUACCGCAUACGACCUACGGUUGAAAGCAGUGGAUCUUCGGACCUUGCGCGAUUGAAUGAGCCGAUGUGGGAUUAGCUAGUUGGGGGGUUAAUGGCCCACUAAGGGGAGGAUCCGUAGCUGGUGUGAGAGAAUGAUAGGCGGCCUUAGAGCGGGGACACGGACAAGACUCCUACGGGAGGCAGCAGUGGGGAAUAUUGGGCAGCGGGCGCAAGCCUGAUCCAGCCAUACCGCGUGGGUGACGAAGGCCUCCGGGUUGUAAAGCCGUUUUGUUGGGAAAGAACAGCAGCAGCUUAAUACGACGCUGUUCUGACGGUACUCAAUGAAUAAGCACCGGCUAACUUCGUG